rnacentral:sRNA from 1 species
AACUAACUCCCGCGCCAACGAUCGUAGCGAAAAUCCUUUGCGGAGCAAAGAUUGAAGCGGAGAGCGUGGUCGUGU